UACGUAGGGGGCAAGCGUUGUCCGGAAUCAUUGGGCGUAAAGAGCGCGUAGGCGGCCCUGUAAGUCCGCUGUGAAAGUCAAGGGCUCAACCCUUGGAUGCCGGUGGAUACUGCAGGGCUAGAGUCCGGAAGAGGCGAGUGGAAUUCCUGGUGUAGCGGUGAAAUGCGCAGAUAUCAGGAGGAACACCAAUGGCGAAAGCAGCUCUCUGGGACGGUACUGACGCUGAGACGCGAAAGCGUGGGGAGCGAACAGG
rnacentral:rRNA from 1 species